UACGUAGGGUGCAAGCGUUAAUCGGAAUUACUGGGCGUAAAGCGUGCGCAGGCGGUUAUGUAAGACAGUUGUGAAAUCCCCGGGCUCAACCUGGGAACUGCAUCUGUGACUGCAUAGCUAGAGUACGGUAGAGGGGGAUGGAAUUCCGCGUGUAGCAGUGAAAUGCGUAGAUAUGCGGAGGAACACCGAUGGCGAAGGCAAUCCCCUGGGUCGACACUGACGCUCAGGCACGAAAGCGUGGGGAGCAAACAGG
rnacentral:rRNA from 1 species